rnacentral:rRNA from 1 species
AUUGAACGCUGGCGGAAUGCUUUACACAUGCAAGUCGAGCGGCAGCGCGGGGCAACCUGGCGGCGAGCGGCGAACGGGUGAGUAAUACAUCGGAACGUGCCCAGACGUGGGGGAUAACUACUCGAAAGAGUGGCUAAUACCGCAUACGAUCUACGGAUGAAAGCGGGGGAUCGCAAGACCUCGCGCGUCUGGAGCGGCUGAUGGCAGAUUAGGUAGUUGGUGGGAUAAAAGCCUACCAAGCCAACGAUCUGUAGCUGGUCUGAGAGGAUGAUCAGCCACACUGGGACUGAGACACGGCCCAGACUCCUACGGGAGGCAGCAGUGGGGAAUUUUGGACAAUGGGCGAAAGCCUGAUCCAGCCAUUCCGCGUGCAGGAUGAAGGCCCUCGGGUUGUAAACUGCUUUGUACAGAACGAAAAAGACUCUGGCUAAUACCUGGAGUCCAUGACGGUACUGUAAGAAUAAGCACCGGCUAACUACGU